rnacentral:rRNA from 1 species
UUCGCCGUUCCGUAGGUGAACCUGCGGAAGGAUCAUUG